rnacentral:rRNA from 1 species
UACGUAGGGGGCGAGCGUUGUCCGGAUUUAUUGGGCGUAAAAGGCUUGUAGGUGGCCACGUCAAGUCGGAUGUGAAAUCUCCCGGCUCAACUGGGAGGGGUCAUUCGAUACUGGCGGGCUCGAGGCCGGUAGGGGGAAGCGGAAUUCCCGGUGUAGUGGUGGAAUGCGUAGAUAUCGGGAGGAACACCAGUGGCGAAGGCGGCUUCCUGGACCGGUUCUGACACUGAGGAGCGCAAGCGUGGGGAGCAAACAGG